GGAGGAAAGCAGGGGAUCGCAAGACCUUGCGCUCAUUGAGCGGCCGAUGCCUGAUUAGCUAGUUGGUGAGGUAAAGGCUUACCAAGGCGACGAUCAGUAGCUGGUCUGAGAGGACGACCAGCCACACUGGGACUGAGACACGGCCCAGACUCCUACGGGAGGCAGCAGUGGGGAGUUUUGGACAAUGGGGGAAACCCUGGUCCAGCCAUGCCGCGUGAGUGAAGAAGGCCUUCGGGUUGUAAAGCUCUUUCAGCCGGAACGAAACGGUCACGGCUAAUACCUGUGACUACUGACGGUACCGGAAGAAGAAGCACCGGCUAACUACGUGCCAGCAGCCGCGGUAAUACGUAGGGUGCGAGCGUUAAUCGGAAUUACUGGGCGUAAAGCGUGCGCAGGCGGUUUUGUAAGUCAGAUGUGAAAUCCCCGGGCUUAACCUGGGAACUGCGUUUAAAAAAGAAGGCUAGAAGGGC
rnacentral:rRNA from 1 species